GUGUUCUUUAGGGCAGUCGGGGACGGGUCGGAUCUCCACUGCGUCCUCCUGGAAUACAAGAGAAGUAUUACUUUGGGAAACUAUGCAAGAAAAAGCAGAAAGGAGGAAGGAUUCAGUUGCUAAAUUUGUGUCUUUAGAUGGCGAUGACGACAUUUGGAUGAAAUCAAACCGACAAUUUUCAACCUUCAGAGCACUGACACAGAAUGGGAGAACAAAGUCAACCCAGCAACUUUCCACUUUCAUAAGAUGCCCCUUUUACACUGGCUGUUGAAGCAAUUAGUAUUUUUUUUUUAAACCCAUGUCCCAAUUACUGUUGUAAAUGGCAUCAACAUGGAAUGAUGGAUAAAGUCAGCCCAGCAAUUUUCUGUCUCCAGAGGUAGUAUCACAAGUCUCUCUUACACUUGCUGUAAAAGCCUGUUCUACAUAAAUGGCACCGACACAGAAUGGGGGGGACAAAAUCAAAUCUGCAAUUUUUCACCUUCAGGGGUAGUAUCGGAAGCCCCUUUGCACUCUGUAAAAGUGAUCAUUUUUCUGCGUCAAUUUUCUGUAUAAAGAGCACUGACGUGAAAGGAGGGGACAAAGUCAAUCUGGCAAAUUUCCACUGCUUGUACAACUGGGCCUUUUCCCAUCUUUUAUCCAUUUCACAUGUAAUUUACAGUAAAGUAAUGGAUGAG